rnacentral:rRNA from 1 species
UCCGUAGGUGAACCUGCGGAAGGAUCAUUAUCGUGCCAAAGGCCACCGUCCCUCGGGGUGGUUGGCCUUUGUUACCCUUAUUCUCUGUCUUUGCGCACCACGUUUGUUUCCUUGGCAGGCUUGCCUGCCAUUGAGAACCCCUCAAACCCUUUGCAGUUGCAAUCAACGUCUGAUAAAUCAAUAGUUACAACUUUUAACAAUGGAUCUCUUGGUUCUGGCAUCGAUGAAGAACGCAGCGAAAUGCGAUAAGUAGUGUGAAUUGCAGAAUUCAGUGAAUCAUCGAAUCUUUGAACGCACAUUGCGCCCCUUGGUAUUCCAGGGGGCAUGCCUGUUCGAGCGUCAUUUGUACCCUCAAGCUAUGCUUGGUGUUGGGUGAUUGUCUGGCCUCUGCGCCUAGACUCGCCUCAAAGUCAUUGGCAGCCAAUGUUGAAGUAGGAGCACGCAGCACAUUUUGCGAGCAAGUACCCAGACUACGGCGUCCACAAAGCACUUCUCACUUUUGACCUCGGAUCAGGUAGGGAUACCCGCUGAACUUAAGCAUAUCAAUAAGCGGAGGAAGUCGACUGCCAAGGGCACACGAGGGGGGGGGGAUGA